AGCCAGCUGAAGAGUCCCAAAUAUGACGAAAUGCGCGUUGUCCUGGAU
rnacentral:hammerhead_ribozyme from 1 species